UUCUUACUGGGUAAUUAACGUUUUUUUCUUUUUUCUUUUUUUUUCUUGUAAGAAAAAAAAGAGAAUGGUAUUGGGACACCGAAAAUGGGAGACUUCGUGCUGGACCUGUGUUGUGGAAGUGGGGAUUUAGCAUUUCUCUUGUCUGAAAAAGGUGGCUCCAAUGGCGGCAAGGUGAGUAAUCUUGAUUUGUCAAAGGAGCAGCUGUUUAUGGCUUCGUCCCGGAAACAUUUGCUUGCAAAGGCUUACUGCAAGAGCAUCGAGUGAGCAUUGGUAAAAGAUUUUUUUCGCACCUCGUGAUUUUAACAUUUUGGAUACCCUGAUUUACAUUGCAUUGAUUGAUCACAGGUGGGUUGAGGGCGAGGCAACUGAUCUGCCCUUCCAAGAUUGAUACUUUGAUGCUAUUCCCAUAGGUUAUGGGUUUCGAAAAUGUGGUGGAUAAGCGGAAGGCCUUGCGGGAGAUGUUUAGAGCACCGAGACCAGGGAAGGAGGUGGAAGAACAUGGUCUGGAAGCAGGAUUUUGUACUUCCACACACUAUGAGAUUAGUGGAGGCCUAAUGGGGAAAGUAGUAGCCACACGCUAGAUGAGGUUGGUUCUCAGUUUUUAACAGCAUGUUUUCAAAGUUUUUGUUGGGUAAGGACAUAUUAUAUAUAGGGGUUGAUGAUUUUUAUGUUUAGAAUGUUUACUGCAACUCAGGCAUAACAAAUGAUAAGCUAAAAGCCACAAACAAUCUGGCUACAUGGAUGAUAAAUUUCCGUUGUAUUAUUUUUCGACGAGAGCUUCCUGCCCAAGAGCAUCCUCGAUGGAAGAGGAAAUGCAUGUGAACCCCUCAAUCCAGAAGUUUGUAUUCUUACAUGAUUUUUAUUUUCAAAAAGAUCUUAAAACUUGUAAUUCUAGUUUUCCUCGAGCUAGAUUUGUUUAUUUAAACCUACAAAAUUUUAUAAAUCAGUCAGUAAAACUUUACAUUGUCAUGCACUCUUGUCCAACUCCACGAUGAAUAUAGGAAUUGGCAUUACUGCACUCAA